UAGGGAAUCUUCCGCAAUGGGCGAAAGCCUGACGCAGCAACGCCGCGUGAGUGAUGAAGGUCUUCGGAUCGUAAAACUCUGUUAGUAGGAAAGAACAAAUGCGUAAGUAACUAUGCCCGUCUUGACGGUACCUAAUCAGAAAGCAACGGCUAACUACGUGCCAGCAGCCGCGGUAAUACGUAGGUGGCAAGCGUUAUCCGGAAUUAUUGGGCGUAAAGCGCGCGUAGGCGGUUUUUUAAGUCUGAUGUGAAAGCCCCCGGCUCAACCGUGGAGGGUCAUUGGUGACUGGAACGCUUGAGUGCAGAAGAGGAAGGUGGAAUUCCACGUGUAGCAGUGAAAUGCGCAGAGAUAUGGAGGAGCACCAGUGGCGAAGGCGACGUUCUGGUAUGUAACUGACGCUGAUGUGCGGAGGCGUGGGGAUCAAACAGG
rnacentral:rRNA from 1 species